rnacentral:lncRNA from 1 species
AAUAUUUAUAGUGAAAAAGUAAUAAGAGAUAAAAUAAGAGACAACUCCGAGUAUGAAUUGGAAAUUGAGAAUUUAUUAACUUCGUGUUUUGAGAGAACGAGAAGUGGCUUAUGGUAUAAGGCUUAAGGUAUAAACCUCCUCUAUAGCUAGUAUGUCAAACACAUGCGAAAAUUAGAGAAAACAAAUACAAAUAUACAACGGG